UACGAAGGGGGCUAGCGUUGUUCGGAUUUACUGGGCGUAAAGCGCACGUAGGCGGAUCGUUAAGUCGGGGGUGAAAUCCUGGAGCUCAACUCCAGAACUGCCUUCGAUACUGGCGAUCUUGAGUCCGGAAGAGGUGAGUGGAACUCCUAGUGUAGAGGUGGAAUGCGCAGAUAUCAGGAGGAACACCAAUGGCGAAGGCAGCUCGCUGGGACGGUACUGACGCUGAGACGCGAAAGCGUGGGGAGCAAACAGG
rnacentral:rRNA from 1 species